rnacentral:tRNA from 1 species
CCAAAUAAGGCCCUAAAACAUA